UGUCAUGGCUGACUGAGCAGGGCAGACCUGCACAUAUGCUAAAGAUCAACAGCUUCUGCAGCAAAAGGACACAGUAUAAUCAGGAAAUCAUCAGCCUGAAGCAUUUGCACCACCAAGGUGAGCCCCUGACAUGUUCUGCCUUCCUGAAGUAUGUCCA